rnacentral:tRNA from 1 species
UGGGGUGUCGCCAAGCGGUAAGGCAUCAGACUCUGACUCUGACAUUACCGGGGUUCGAAUCCCUGCACCCCAGCCA